rnacentral:lncRNA from 1 species
AGCACGAUGGAAUCUGGUGGCUUAAACCUAGCUGUCCACAUUUCACUAUCUGAAGAGCAGAAAAUGUGUUAAUAGGAGCCUGGUGAGUGGAGGAGACUGAAGAUGGAGAGAGAGCCUGGACCUCAACAUGAGCAUCUGGAGCCAUUUGGCAGCAUUAGGCUGUGACCGCUUAGAGAACCGAAAGAAAAGAGAAAACAUUUCCAUGGAAGAGGAAACAGGAAAUUCCAACAGAUCAGCAACAGUUGGAGUGCUAACCUGUCACUGGAAUGGGAAAAAAAAUGCUGUCGUUGACACAUCUUUUCCUUGUUUUUGACACAAAUUAGAAACACCACCUGGAACACAGCUGUGACUUGAUAAACAAGUGAAACAUUCUUUGGUGUGGUGAGGGGAAAACAAAUUUCUCAAAGGACACGCACCAUGGUGUAUGAGAGGACACUGGAGCCCAGCCAGCAUCUGACAUGCUGAAUUCAAAGUGCAGAAGACAGAGAUGAAGAAAAGAAGGAAGUGGAGGCAAUGAGGAAAGGAGGGAAGAAGGAAGGAAGGAAAUCAUGCUUGAAAGAAGUUGUGGAACAUGUCAAGUUUUUUUCCGGAUGUGGCGGAGAUUAUGCAGCUACAAUGAAGCCAGAUUAAGAUUUCAGGAAAAUGGACAGAUCUCUACAAUGUUCUCCAAAGAGAUUGUUUUGCUUGCCAAUAAAAAGAGACACCUGGGAGCACCAUACUCUCUCCUGUUCCUCUGGGUAUCAUAUUUCCUUAUGACACCUGAAACUCUGAUGCCUUCUGGGUCCAUGAAAGCAGUGAGAUGAGCACAGGAAACCACGCUGAGGAUGGUUGAGCAAAAAGGUGACAUUGAGCCACUGGAUUAACCUGCCCAGAAACAGGAUAUCUUCAGAUUUCUUGUUAAGUAAGAAAAUGUAAUUUUGUUGAUUCUAAGUUACACUUUCUUUUGUUAGUUCAACAUCUCUGAAAUCAGAACAUAUUUUGCCAUGGUAAUAUCUUACCAUCACUGUAAUAUGUAAUAUCCUUACAUAGGUGUCAUUGCCUAUGCAUGUGUCAACUUGAUUGCUAUUCUCUGUGAUAUGACUGACAACUGCAGCCCUUUGACAGUUCAGUCGACAAACCAUUGAAGAUUAUUAGGGUAAGAAAUACUGCUUUCUGUCUGAAAACUUUCCAAUGACAUCUUCUGAAAAGACAAAGAAAGUAUCAGCAUCAAAAUUUGCGUAAUAGGCCGGGCGCGGUGGCUCACGCCUGUAAUCCCAGCACUUUGGGAGGCCGAGGCGGGCGGAUCACGAGGUCAGGAGAUCGAGACCAUCCCGGCUAAAACGGUGAAACCCCGUCUCUACUAAAAAUACAAAAAA